rnacentral:misc_RNA from 1 species
GUAGGUGGCCUGGUUUGCCUGCCGGAGCCUCGCAACGACUCUAAAGAAAUGCCCUAGUCGGCCGUCUCUUGCGGCUGGCGACGCUGUCAUUCUGGGCUGGAAGCGCCUCGGUUGGGCGUAACCAGCAGCUCCAUGGGGAGUCCACAGAUCAAACGACGGCGGCCACCCUCGGGUGGUGAUGAUAUGAUCGGCCCCAGCCGUCACUCUGGCUGGUGAAUUCAGCGCGGAACCUGCGGAAGGAUCAUUACUG